GAGCAGGCUGGACAGUCGCGGGGACAAGGCGAAAGCCUGUUCAUGAGGAAAGUCCGGGCUCCACAGGGCAAGAAUAACGGGUAACGCCCGCCGAAGGCGACUUCAGGAAAAGUGCAACAGAGAUAUACCGCCCCGUCACAUCCCCAGCAAUGGGGCCCCGCAAAAACGCAGUUUUUGUGGGGAAAGGAGGUGCGGCGAAAUGAUUUCGUCCAGCCGCAAGCGGCUGGACGAAGGAUAUGGAGCUUGCACCGACGAGGUAAGGGUGGAAAGGCGAGGUAAGAGCUCACCCGACGGCGCGUGAAAGUGACCGUCGCUGUAAACUCUAUUCGGAGCAACACCGGUAUGGGAGCGUAUAGGCUGGCCCGGCUGCUCCCGGGGUGGCUUGAGCGUGCCGGCAACGGUACGCCCAGAUAGAUGACUGUCAAAACAGAACCCGGCUUAUAGGCCCGCUCG
rnacentral:RNase_P_RNA from 1 species